UCCCCGCGAACGCGCGGCGUUUGGGUGCUUCGGCCAACGCACACCCUGCGGCAGCUGCGCCUCAACGCGAGAGGGAGAGAAUGUCCAUCAAACCACAGCUGUGAGACAUGGUCAUCCAACGGCGAGCCCCUCCGCUGAGAGAGAGAGGAGCGCCGCAGACACUAUUCAGAGGAAGGGGCCAAACCAAGCUUUCGAGCACUUAGAGAGUAAAGGGACGCCAAGGCAAAAAGCACAAACUGGAAAUGUUGCAGGAACUCAAGGGUAGAUGGUCAUCCUGCCUACGGGAUACGUGGAAUGCGAAAAGUCAUGUCUGUCUCUUAAAACCACAGAAAGAAACAUGCACAUAUAAUAAAGAAUGAACCCAGCCCUUCAAAACACACGGCUCUGAGAUAAGCUACAGGUGAACCGUACAACAAGGAUGUAUCUCCAAAAUGUAGGGAAUUUCAGGUGGUGUAAAAAGUGGAAAUUAAAAUGGCCUUUCAUCCAGACAUUGAAUGCCAAACAAUCAGUUUAUAAAUCUUAGUUCUCAGGAUCUGUUUCUUUAUUGCUAUAGUUCUAUGAUUUCUUUAUAGAUAUUUCUUAAUUAUAUUUGGACACAGAUGGUACCUUGCUACAAUUGUGGUAGCCCCCUACAGAAUAUAAAUAUAUAUUCCACUAUAAACAUUCAAAUUGAGAUUAAGGGAUCACUUGGGUAUCUUGGUGAAACAAUUAUUAGAUGGAAAAAGGCUCAAUCUUCAUAAAACAUUAUUUGAUAAGAUUAUAUUACCAAGUAGAAUUGUUUCUCUUCUGGCCAUCCACAAAUAGAGAAAUCCAUAUGCAUGUUGCUUUCUUCAUUGUUUCCCCAUAACCAUCAGUACAGAAGACCCACAAGGUAAUACAUCCAAUCACACAUAUUGACAAUAAAAAUCAAGCUCCUACAUUAGCUCUAAAGCACAUAUUGUCUCUUGAAACCUUUGACAGCUUGGCUGGUUUCAUUUUUUACCCUCAGAUACUCUCUUCCUGGAAAGCAUCCUGGCUUCCUAAAAUAGGUAUUCGUGGAAAACACUCUCUCGCACUAUAGUGUUACCAGGAGUCAGUUCCUUUACUUGCAUAAACUGAACAUCUCAAUAAAGUAAAAAAGACUGCGCUUUCAUCCUAUGUAAUAAAAGGCUAAUAUGCAAAUUGUCCCCUCAGGAGUUCGACCGCUCGCUAUGAUGUGCGCUGACCACCAGGGUUAUAAAUAAGGGAAGAACAUGAAUGCUACCAGUACAUUUAAUAGGUUACCAUAACAUAUCUGGUUUAGUUCUUUAGAUUUUGUAGUCAGAAUUUAGAAGAAUAGUGUAUAUUGUGUAAGUUAAGGAAUUGUAUAA